GAUGAACGCUAGCGGGAGGCUUAACACAUGCAAGUCGAGGGGCAGCACGUCUUCGGAUGGUGGCGACCGGCGCACGGGUGCGUAACGCGUAUGCAACCUGCCUUAUGCAGGGGAUAGCCCGGGAAACCCGGAUUAAUACCUCAUGAGACCUUUUUCCCGCAUGGGGUGAAGGUGAAAGAUUUAUCGGCAUAAGAUGGGCAUGCGUCUGAUUAGCUAGUUGGUAGGGUAAAGGCCUACCAAGGCGACGAUCAGUAGCUGAUGUGAGAGCAUGAUCAGCCACACGGGCACUGAGACACGGGCCCGACUCCUACGGGAGGCAGCAGUGAGGAAUAUUGGUCAAUGGAGGCAACUCUGAACCAGCCAUGCCGCGUGGAGGAUGAAGGUCCUCUGGAUUGUAAACUCCUUUUAUAAAAGAAGAAACCCCAGUAUUCUUACUGGGUUGACGGUACUUUAUGAAUAAGCACCGGCUAACUCCGUG
rnacentral:rRNA from 1 species